rnacentral:rRNA from 1 species
AGUUUGAUCCAUGGCUCAGGACGAACGCUGGCGGCGUGCUUAACACAUGCAAGUCGAGCGGUAAGGCCUUUCGGGGUACACGAGCGGCGAACGGGUGAGUAACACGUGGGUGAUCUGCCCUGCACUUCGGGAUAAGCCUGGGAAACUGGGUCUAAUACCGGAUAUGACCUCCUAUCGCAUGGUGGGUGGUGGAAAGAUUUAUCGGUGCAGGAUGGGCCCGCGGCCUAUCAGCUUGUUGGUGGGGUAAUGGCCUACCAAGGCGACGACGGGUAGCCGACCUGAGAGGGUGACCGGCCACACUGGGACUGAGACACGGCCCAGACUCCUACGGGAGGCAGCAGUGGGGAAUAUUGCACAAUGGGCGAAAGCCUGAUGCAGCGACGCCGCGUGAGGGAUGACGGCCUUCGGGUUGUAAACCUCUUUCAGCAGGGACGAAGCGCAA